AGGUGUUAAUUUGGGUUUAGAGGAAUAGAU
rnacentral:piRNA from 1 species